GACGAACGCUGGCGGCGUGCUUAACACAUGCAAGUCGAACGGAAAGGCCCUGCUUUUGUGGGGGGCUCGAGUGGCGAACGUGUGAGUAACACGUGAGUAACCUGCCCUUGACUUUGGGAUAACUUCAGGACACUGGGGCUAAUACCGGAUAGGAGCUCCUGCUGCAUGGUGGGGGUUGGAAAGUUUCGGCGGUUGGGGAUGGACUGGCGGCUUAUCAGCUUGUUGGUGGGGGAGUGGCUUACCAAGGCUUUGACGGGUAGCCGGCCUGAGAGGGUGACCGGGCCCAGUGUGACUGAGAUACGGCCAGUACGCAUACGGGAGGCAGGAGUGGAAAAUAUAGCACAAUGGGCGGAAGCCUGAAGCAGGAACGCCGCGUGCGAGAUGACGGCCUUCGGGUUGUAAACCGCUUUCGCCUGUAACGAAGCGUGAGUGACGGUACUGGAUAAAGAAGCACCGGCUAAUUACGU
rnacentral:rRNA from 1 species